CUCAACUCCGGCUGUAUUUAUGGCGGUAGGCAAGCGGGACCGUUUGGAUAGCUCAUCAGCUGAUUUGUCAUCACUGUUUGGUCGUCGAUAGGAGUGGCCAGGCUAUGUCUGGACACGGGUCAACAGUACCUGGACUUAGUGGAAGUUUCCUCAUUUGAAACCUUUCAGGACAUUUCCCAGAAACAGAUGUAAAUUAUCAGGAUUUGACACUGCUUUAUAUAGCUUCAGGAACCAUGGAUACAGUAUCAAGCCAGCUUCUCAGAACAUUAUGUUUCAUGUUCAUUUGCCAAGGCCUGUCCACAGUUGUGUCAGGAGAGUGCCCCGCCGACGCCGAGGAGAGAAUGACAAUGUGUACCAAGCAUCUCAACCAGCUUGGAAACAACAAUAACAACAACAAAGAGGCGCUCUCCAGAUAUUGCAGAACUCUGAAGGAAGCUCCGGCAUGCUUACAAGAGAUCCUCCAUCAAUGUCAAGGAGAUAUGGGCCUCGGUUCAAUAGAAGUCCUGAAGAAAAUGACGAAUCAGCUGAAGGCCACAUUUGACAAGAAGUGCGAGCCGAUCUGUGCACGUGACCCAGAAGCAAUCAGCUCGUCGUCGAUGGCGGCUUGGCACCAUUGGACGUUGAUCCUCAGCGGCGUCUUCUCAUACGGGAUAUUGUCCAGAUUGUGAUAUUUAUACCCCACUUGAUGCUCCUCCUUGGCAGAGACAAUGGCUAAACAUUGUGCUUUUGAGAACCUGAAUAUCAGCUUGUGUAAUGAUGCAAAUCUCCAUGGAGUGCCUUUAUCUAUCCUGUUAACACAUUGUGUCGCACGUCAUCAUAUAUGCAGCAUGAUCAGCCUGCAUAGUACAUAACAGUCUGGCGAGGCGGUUGUGCUUAUUCGUGAGCAGGUUUUGGACAAUGGAUAGACUGCUUUGGAUCUGUGUUCCACACGCAGAUAGAGGCUAUCUUUCAUCAGCUUCAGUGAAUCAGACACUUUAAUUCAGUGACUGCCAGUACCAUUAUGCUGUUUUGUUGCUUGUAUUGUAUGUAAAUAUUUACACGUAUGAUGACGUGGCCAAAUUAUCGCGCCCCUCUGCAUUAUCUCUUCUUGAAUACUUGGAUCACACCAGUUGUUCUCGUGAUUAACAUUAUCACAUAUACGUUAGUUUUCCUGUGAUUGUCGGCGUUCCACGUCACCAAUGCGUUUGGCAGCGUGUACAUAUUGUGUUGACACUGACCUAGUUUCAGAGACUGUAUCUGAAUACCUGAUGUUGUGUGCUGAUCUUCACUGAGGCACUCAACAUGACACAAGUUGACUAUACGCCGGUAAUUGCUGUAACAGCAUGUCACAUGUAGGAGUGAAAGCUAUGUCAGCUUCAGGCUUACUGGUCAGUGAUGUCAUGUAUGGCAUUUAUUGUGUAAGCUACGGUAGUUGAUUUGCGUCCGUUUUUGUUCCACCUUAUACCCAAUCAGCGGCCACAGAUAUGGAAUGGCGGGGGUUAGUGGCAUGUAUCCACACGUUCAUUGAAAGGUUUUAGUGAUGUUCUAAUAUCUUACCAAGAGCAAGUGUUUUGUCUUCUAUACCACCAAGAGGCGAAGGCAUUCUCACUGCAAGGUACUCAAGACAAGAAGUGAAUCUGCCCCGUACAGAACCAGAUGAAUGUAAUGUUCUGUUUGGAAAGAGUGUGACAGUAGUUUUCAGCCAGUCGAUGUUCAUGCAUUUGACACUUGGAUUAAAUCAACAAAGAGUCACAAAAUAUGAUCGGGCACGGUCAGCCCUGUCUUCUAAUUCGUGUCAUUAGUUGUACAGAGUUGCCUAGGACGUGCCGGGACCUUCAAAUCCCAGAUUGACGAGGAUUAAUUAUUUUUCAACGUUUAUCAGCUUCAUACUACGAUUAACGUGUUCGUCCUGAAUCAGUACAGACUUCUCGACCAACUUCAAGCUAAGAGGCAGUAAUAUGACUGAAAUACUAUUCACAUAUUCACUCAGAGAUGAAAGAAAAGACGAUAUUUCUGCAUUAAGGAAUAUGUACGUUAUCAAGUCUUUCCUGUUGCAGCGAAAGAUUUGGUUUCUGCAAGCCAUCGUCUAUUUCGAGAAUUAUUCCGUCAUUUAAAACUUUAAAGCGUCAGUAAUAUUUUAAAGCGUAUUAAUAUACAGUACAUUUUUGUUAUAUUAUUUUGUUUAAUUAUUAUAUUUUUUCUAAGAAUGAUCAGGUGUGUCACUUUGUUUCUUGUAAUGUUCCUUGAGCAGCAAUUAUGCGAUGCUAUCAUGUGUUUAAUGUUUGAUUCUAAGUCAUGUGAUAAUUUUGACUCUAAAUGUACAUUAGAUUAUGUUCUUAAUUAUGUUUCAUCAUUAAUGUAUGUUACACUUUACAAAUUAAAAUUGUUAACUAAGUAACAGAAAACAA